rnacentral:lncRNA from 1 species
AAACUAUCUCAAUCUACUCAAUUGAAAUAAAAACAAAAUCAUAAUCUACUCAGACCCAAUCAUAACAAACACAGCAAUGUCACUUCAAAACACCUAGUUAUCUUCAAUCUAUCUCAAACUACUCAGAUUGAGAUAAAAACACAAUCUCAAUCUACUCAACCCCAAACACAGCCAUGUCAAUUCAAAACACCUAGUUAUCUCAAUCUGAUCAAUCUACUCAGAUUGAGAUAAAAACACAAUCUCUAUCUACUCAGACUCAAUCAUAGCAAACACAACAAUUACACUAUUGAAAAAAAUCAAAGAAGGAUGAUCACAGCAAACAGUAUCUCAAACUAAUCAACCGAAUCAUCCAAAUACUAGCUUGAUUGAUGACAAAUUCAAAAGAAAAGUACAAAUAAUAACAAUUCCCAACUUAAAAACUUAAUAACAAUUUCAAAUGCUACAUGGAACCCCUGUCUUUAGACAAUCUUCAUCUCCCAUGUUGAAGAGGCAAGACCUGGAAGCAAUCAGCAUACUGGUAAAAAAGAUCAUCAUCCUUAGCUCGCUUUUCCAUCAUAAGCACAUGACAGAAUAAUACAUUUUUGCCAUCCACUUGGAAAGACCUCCCACUCAUAAAAUCAGCAUCUUCGACAUUCUCAACAGUUUUGAUUGACUGGAUCCAAAACAUACUUGUACUUGGGGGCAAAGGAAGCCCCACGGCUAUGACAAACAAGCCUAGCAACUAGCUUCACCUUGUCUUCGUUGUCCAAAUCUUUCACAGCGAUGACAAUUGACUGCUGUCCAUGGGCUAAGUCUAGAUUCUCAAAAACAAACAAGGAGGCAACUUCAUUUGGAAAAGUAACACCAUACCAAUUUCCCUGUGCAAGUAAAAAUGAAAAUAAUUAAGAAAUGAAUAGAUAGUUAAAAUGUCUGCUAAGAAACACCAUCUAGAUUGAAUUUAGGACACAUUCAAAAAAUUUAAGAUCCAAUUUCUCAAUUCAUACUUUUUGUAUAACAAUUGCUAAAUGAUUCAAAACAUCUAAAAAAAGCUACAAACCAACCAAAAAAGGGGCAAAUCAUGGUUUCUCUAAAUAACUAUAUUUCUUCAGAUUUAUUAAUUAAUCUGUAUGCAUAUACUGUGCAUGCAGAAAGCUAUGCUUGAAAAAGAACUCUUUUAUGAUCAUGCAGAACAAAAAUGCCAUUUCUUUAGACAACAAACACAAAAUGUCAUUAGCAUGCCCUGUGCAGGGAUGCCAUAACAAAGGUCACAUUUGAGGGUGUCAUAGUAGCACCAGCUAGGAGGAAAAUUGAGGAUUGAGACGAGACAAAUUGGAGCCAAAUCCAUUCCCCAACUACUACCAUUUAAAAAUUAACAAUGACUGGAUACUAAACUGAAAGUAAACUAAGAGGAAACUAUAAAAAGAGAGACAUACAAUGAACAAUAAACUUAGCUGUUAAAUGUUUCGGGGAUUCCAGGUAUGAACUAAACCUAAGCUGAAAUUAACUGAACUACGACUAAAAAUACAUCCUAAUAAAAUGGAGCUAUCUAAACUGAAAAAGAAAGAAAGAUUCUCUAAACUAAAUAGGUGAAGCUAGACAGGGCAUUGCUAAAAUGCCAGAUGAGCAAUAACAAAUCAAAAACAAAGGAAAAAAACUAGACAAUAUCAACUAAAAAAAUACAAAACUGAAGGCCAUUAUCUAAUCAUGGUACACAGCAACAACAAGUCCACAACAACAUGAUGGAUAAGUCUGUGUUGGCUGGUUGUGGGCUGCAGUAGGCAGCACAUGGUCCUUGUGUAGGAUAGCAUCCUUGACUGCUUUUAGGACAGCACUUAGCAUAUGUAGGACAACAUCUUGACUGCUUUUAGGACAGCAGUUAGCAUCUGUAGGACAGCAUCUUAGACUAGCAUCUUAGACUAGCAUCUUGGCAUAUGCUGGCUGGUUAGCAGCCCUAUAAAUAUGUAUCCCAACCCCUCAGGUUGGCAUAGCAUUGUGUGAGAAAUAAACCCAGAACAUUGCCCC